GAGCGCACCCUUCGGGGCGAGCGGCGGACGGGUUAGUAACGCGUGGGAACAUACCCUUUUCUACGGAAUAGCCUCGGGAAACUGAGAGUAAUACCGUAUACGCCCUUCGGGGGAAAGAUUUAUCGGAGAAGGAUUGGCCCGCGUUAGAUUAGAUAGUUGGUGGGGUAAUGGCCUACCAAGUCUACGAUCUAUAGCUGGUUUUAGAGGAUGAUCAGCAACACUGGGACUGAGACACGGCCCAGACUCCUACGGGAGGCAGCAGUGGGGAAUCUUAGACAAUGGGCGCAAGCCUGAUCUAGCCAUGCCGCGUGUGUGAUGAAGGCCUUAGGGUCGUAAAGCACUUUCGCCAGGGAUGAUAAUGACAGUACCUGGUAAAGAAACCCCGGCUAACUCCGUGCCAGCAGCCGCGGUAAUACGGAGGGGGUUAGCGUUGUUCGGAAUUACUGGGCGUAAAGCGUACGUAGGCGGAUCAGAAAGUAGGGGGUGAAAUCCCAGGGCUCAACCCUGGAACUGCCUCCUAAACUCCUGGUCUUGAGUUCGAGAGAGGUGAGUGGAAUUCCAAGUGUAGAGGUGAAAUUCGUAGAUAUUUGGAGGAACACCAGUGGCGAAGGCGGCU
rnacentral:rRNA from 1 species